AGAGUUUGAUCCUGGCUCGGAACGAACGCUGGCGGCGUGGAUUAGGCAUGCAAGUCGAACGUGAAAUCGGGGGCAACUCCGAGAGUAAAGUGGCGAACGGGUCAGUAAUGCAUGGACGACCUGCCUCAUGCACUGGGAUAACCCUCCUAACGGAGGGCUAAUACCGGGUACAGUCCUUGGGUCGCAUGGCCCGAGGAUGAGAGGAGGGGCUCCUUCGGGACCUUCCGGCAUGAGAGGGGUCCAUGUCCUAUCAGCUUGUUGGCGGGGUAACGGCCCACCAAGGCUUACGGGUAGCCGGCCUGAGAGGGCGACCGGCGACACUGGCACUGAGACACUGGCCAGACUCCUACGGGAGGCUGCAGUCGAGAAUUUUUCGCAAUGCCCGAAAGGGUGACGAAGCGACGCCGCGUGAGGGAUUGAAGGCCUUCGGGUCGUAAACCUCUUUUGUACCGUUAGAAGGCGGUACGCGCGAAUAGCGCGAACCGUCGGACGAAGGUAAAAAAAAGCUCCGGCCAACUACGUGCCAGCAGCCGCGGUAAUACGUAGGGAGCGAGUGUUGUUCGGAUUCACUGGGCUUAAAGGGCGCGUAGGCGGCCCGGCAACUCGAGAGUGAAAUCCCGUCCUUCAAAGGCGGAAUGGCUAUCGAAAGUACCGGGCUCGAGGGUGGGAGGGGAGAGUGGAACUCCUGGUGUAGCGGUGAAAUGCGUAGAUAUCAGGAGGAACGCCGGCGGCGAAAGCGACUCUCUGGAACACACCUGACGCUGAGGCGCGAAAGCCGGGGGAGCAAAGAGGAUUAGAUACCCUUGUAGUCCCGGCCUUAAACGGUGAGUAUUAGGUAGGGGAGAUACCGAUGUCACCCUUGCCGAAGCGAAAGCGAUAAAUACUCCGCCUGGGGAGUACGGCCGCAAGGCUGAAACUCAAAGGAAUUGACGGGGGCUCGCACAAGCGGUGGAGCAUGUGGCUCAAUUCGAUACUACGCGAAGAACCUUAUCCAAGGCUUGACAUGGCGGUAGUACCGAACCGAAAGGCGAGGGACCCCGAAAGGGGAGCCGUCACAGGUGCUGCAUGGCCGUCGUCAGCUCGUGUCGUGAGAUGUCCGGUUAAGUCCCUUAACGAGCGAAACCCUUACCCUUAGUUACCAGCGUAUAAAGUCGGGGACUCUAGGGGGACUGCCUCGGCAACGAGGAGGAAGGUGAGGACGACGUCAAGUCAUCAUGGCCCUUAUGCCUUGGGCUGCACACGUGCUACAAUGGCCGGCACAAAGGGAAGCAAACUCGCGAGGGGAAGCAAAUCCCAAAAAUCCGGCCUCAGUUCGGAUUGAAGGCUGCAACCCGCCUUCAUGAAGUUGGAAUCGCUAGUAAUCACGGAUCAGCUACGCCGUGGUGAAUAUGUUCCCGAGCCUUGUACACACCGCCCGUCAAGCCACGAGAGCCGAGAGUACCCGAAGUCGCUCACCGAACCCGCAAGGGACGGAGGCGCCGACGGUAAAAUCGGUGAUUGGGACUAAGUCGUAACAAGGUA
rnacentral:rRNA from 1 species